AUAUUUACUUUUGUUGAAAUGGGAUGGAGAAUAUGAGGGGGAAAGUGGGAUAGUUUGAGGGGAAACAAUCUGUUCCGAUUUCUCUGUGCCGAGAGAUUUCAGGAAUCCCAAUUUCUUCUUUUGAAUUUUGAAAUCAACAGAUUUUUUCCCAUUUUCUGUUUGAGUCGCAAUCUUCGAUUUUUCGUAUCUGAUCGGAAGAGAAAACAAUCUGUUAGAAAUCUAAUAUAUUUAUUUUUGUUGUUUGUUUCGUAUUUUUUUUGGGAGCAACAACUGAUAUAUUCUUAGACUGAGAUAAGAUUCUGAUUAUGUUUUGUACUGAAAGUGACUCUAUUUAGCUUUUGCUAUUAGUUCAAGUAAACUUUGUUUUCAUGUUUUCUGGGUUCCGCAUAUGAGAAACUUCGUUUCCAUUUGUAGCGAUUGAUGAGAAAAUCGAAGCAUAUCCUUAGUUGACCGAAACUGGUUUUGGGUAAUUGGAGAAGAGAUUUUGGAGAAUUUUCUUUCUCCCUUAGCCAAUCCUACUCCAGAAUUCUUUAAAGUUUGGACUUUCUUAUUGAUCUUUCGAGAAAUUGAUAAAGAGUUUUCCUAGUUUUUUCUUUUACUUAAACUAUAUAUACACAUAUAUAUUUUCAUUUUCCAUAUGGAGAUUACUGCAUCAAACAAGUGCCAUCUGCCACUUCUUUCCAUUUUGAGAUUCUACCUGCAAAUUCUUUAGGGAAAUCCUCUUAUUUUCCGUGAACAAAAAUUUCCCCAAAAAGUGUUUUUCACUCAUCUAGAGUAGAACCGAUGGCCGUGUCAUUAAGCCGUUUUUCAUUAUGGUUUUGGAACGGGAAGGAGAGAGAGACUGUUGCAAAUGGGUCGACCCCAAAUUCUUCAUCUGAGUUCGGUACUGGUCUGAGAGAACCGGAGAGUCUUAAGUUCAAGAGGGUGGACCUGCCUUCUUCAUCAAAGAAGGUCAAUAAGCAGAAAUGGCUAAGUAAGAAGGAAACAAGGAUUGGGUGGGAAUACGAUUUUGUGAUGGUACCAUCUGGUGGUGAUGACAUGCAAAUGUCUGAUUCUGGUGAUGAGGCUGAUUGGUCUAUUGGUUGGUUGGAGCCUCAUGGUCCUGGUUUUCAGAGUGAUGAUAGUUUUGCUGUUCUGGUCCCUUCCUAUAGCAAUCGUUGCAAGGAGGUGGUGGAGGGUUCUAACGUGGAGCUUUUGGCUGCCAUUAAAAAACUUCAAAAUGAAUUCUCACCUGGAAGCAACAUCAGACAACUUUUGCAUGACACCAAGUGUAUCAUUGUACAGCAUCAGAUUUUAGACUAAAAUGAAAAAUCAUGGUACUAAGGAAACAUAGCGUGGUGGCAGCUGGUCAGACGUAGGUGAUAGAUUUACAGCCAAAUUUCUCCUCUUUGAUGUGCUUUUUGGUAAAACUUUAUGUUCUGUUAAUUGUUUAUUGUCUUUCUCUCAACUAGAGUUUGAGUCGAUGUUAUUUCCAGUGCAUUUGUGUUUCUGAACCAAUUUUGUUUUAAAAACGGCCAUUGCCAAGGAAUGAGUUUUAGAGUUGCAGAAAACGACUGGCGUUACAAUACCUUGGAACUAUAGUCAGGAGUUGUCCUCAGAUGUAAUAGCUUUGAUGACCAAGAGUAAGAAGUAUAUGGAGCUAUGGCUUUCUUCUCUGCAAAACUCAGCCUGAAGUACUCUCGGUGACAACGGCGACCACAUUGAAGCACACAUGCUCAUUACCCCAAAGUUUAGUAUCCUAUUGAGUAGCAGUUUAUAAAAUAGAAUAACAGACUUAAGUUUUGUUUUGUGCAUAUCAAGAUCUUUCUUUCCAUGCUCCUGUUUUUUUGCAUACAUAAAUUUGAUUGACAAUCUGGAAACCAUUGGAAAGGGGAUGUUCUUUCUUUUUAUUUUUGUUUUCUUUCGCCCCUUGUUGUAUACACUAUAUAUGGUAUACAGUCCAUAUACUAACUACUACCGUUUCUUUUAUCCUAUUUCCUAUAAUUAUUUCUUA